UCAGUGUCCCAUCAACCAGCUUUGCAUCGGCCGCCCUGCUCUGCGAUGGCCGUGCCUCGGAUAUUUUCGCGCACCGAACCAAAAAUCGAGCUUUAAUGGCUCCAUCGAAGAAAUUAAAGAACCUGCCGGCUAUGCCAUAUGAGGUGCAACGCGACCAAGCUGCGGAUGAAGAUGGAGCGAAAGACUAUGGAUGAGUAUGCCAGGCUACU